rnacentral:lncRNA from 1 species
GUGCAGCGGCACAUGGCCAGUAGAUCGCCGUUGCUAUUUUACGCUAAAUCAAUACCUUGAUCUUAGAUUUGAUAUCUGUAUGAUGUGAUUUGCUUAUUGUGAACCUAGUUUGAUUAAGAUAUGUUACUUGGUAAAAAUAUGAAUCAAUGAACCGACCGUUGGAUCAUCACCAGACUUUAAUAUCUUUUAAUACGUAAUAUUUGAGGACCAUAGAAACUUAAGGAUCAAGAAUCCGACGUCCAGAUCUUCCUGAAUUGGAUUUGUAAGUUGAUAAAAUAAAACGUUAACUGCCACUUGAAUUUGUAAUUGGCGGAGAUCCAACCGUUGCAUCGUAAUGAAACUUUAGGAUGUUGUUCUAUAAGCAUAAUGUGGAUCUUUGGAAGUAAGGGAUUGGAAAUCCGUGGUGCGGAUCUUCCAGAUCGAAUUACGUAGGGAUGUGUUUUAUGUAAGUUACAUAUUCUAUCAAUAAGAUUUCUGAGACAUGAUUUGAUAAUUGUUCUAGGCGGCGAUUGUUCAUGACACCUUGAUGUGUGUGCUAGGGAGUUGUAGCACGGAAUCCAAGUGAGUGGGCUUUUGAUUUUCAAUAUAUGUAUAUAUGCUUUACGUUUUUCCCAGAAAAUUGAUUUAAAUGAUUUUGCAUUUUAAAUGCCAUGUCAAUUGUUUUAUAUUUUAGAAUAUGCAUUAGUAGUUAUGUAUGUUAGUAUUUGACGCUGUGGAUGCUCGGUAAGUUCUAGUGAGUAGAUGUUGAUGAUAGAGAUUGCAGCGUAUAUGAUUGUGAUGAGAUGCAUUUAAACCUCAUUAUUCUGCAUCCCGAUGCUAGUGCUUCCUCCCGUGGCCAGGGCACAGUCCUUUACAUGAUGUUCACCUCUCACACCGCACAUUCACCUUGGAUCCAUGUUUGGUGCACAGCCCUGUCGUACAGACCAUAAUAGGUGGUUCUGACUCAUAGGUGACCCGCGAUUUAUUGCACAACCUUCACUUGAUCGUAGCACUUGAACGUACUUAUUUGCACCCAACCCUGUCGUAUAGACCACCUUAGGUGUUUCCGACUUGUGUGCAGGAUUAGAGAGUUGAGCAAAAGGUUCAGCCGUAUAGGUCACAUUAGGUGACUCCGGCUAACAUAUCAUUUUACAUUGAAUUGUUUCACCUGGUGAUGCGAGAAUUACUUGACACACAAAUUAAACCCUCUUUUUGACAAUUGUAGUAUAGAUGUAAGUAGGGUAUCGUUCUAGGCCGGGGAUUAGGAGGGAUUGCUAAUCUAUUCUAAAUUAAUUUAAAAAUAUUAAAAAAGACUCAAGGACACAAAACUAGGCUAAAAACUCUAAUAACUUGAAACACACUUAGAAUGACUCAAAAUAAUGGAAACACUCAAUUUAGACACUAGGAACUGAAAUGGACGGAAAUUGAAUUAAAAGACAACAAUGAAAACUAACUAAAUAAUAUAAUUUAAUAAUGGGGGGUGUUUGGUUUUGACGAGAAGUAAAUUAAACUUAAAUAAAUUACAGAAUUGACAAAAACAUGAAAUUAAGGUGAAAGGAUAGGUGACGGACUAGCUAGAGGGUUUUUCUCCACACAUGACACAUAUGCAACCUAAAUUGAUUUUCAGUUGUUCUUUCAAUAAAUUGUGAAUCUCAACACUUCAGAUUAACCGUGAACAGCACUUUUUUAAUCUUCAAGUUUUCCUUAAGUUAUUGAAUUGGACGGGAAAACGCAUACAACAAUUCAAAACAUUCUUCAAAAGUCCCCUACGUGAAAAGCACAAUAGAGAUACAAUCAAAGAUCAUUAAACUUUGUGAAAACUAUAAGCAUUGACGAGGCAUUCGUAAACACUCCCUCCUGUAAAUGUGAAUUGGACGGGCUAAUUUUGUUCCACAACACACUUGAGCUCCCUCUUGUAAACACUCCCUCCUGUAAACUUCCAAAAUCUUAAUCAGUCCGACUCUCUUCUUUCUUCACCACCUUCAGAAAAUGUCUGGCCCGUCCGAUCGUCGUUUUGACUUGAACAUUGGUGAAGAGGCAGCUCCGCCUUCACCAGACAACAUAUGGCGCCCAUCUUUCAUAUCCCCUACCGGUCCUCUUACCGUUGGGGAUUCGGUGAUGAAAAAUGACAUGACCGCUGCGGUGGUGGCCCGGAACCUUGUCACUCCCAGAGAUAACAGACUGCUCGCUAGACGGUCUGAUGAAUUGGCGGUUAAGGAGUCUCUGGCUCUUAGCGUGCAGUGUGCUGGUUCUGUGUCCAACAUGGCCCAACGCCUAUAUGCUCAAACCCGUCACGUUGAAUCGUUGGUGGCUGAAAUACAGAGUCUCAAAGAGGAGAUUAGAGGACUCAAGCAUGAAAAUAAACAAUUGCAUAAGCUCGCACACAGCUAUGCCACCAGCAUGAAGAGGAAGAUUGACCAGAUGCAGGACACUGAUGGUCAAAUUUUACUGGAUCAUUGGAAGUUUGUGGGUCUGUUCCAACAGCAUCUGCCUUCAUCUUCUGGAGCGGCACCGCGUAGUGAAGCUCCAAUUGAUCAACCUCUGUUGCCUCCUCCUUCUGUUGCCCCGCCGACUGCUGAAGCACCGCCGACUACUGAAGCACCACCUGACCAAUGAAUGCUAUUAGUUCACACAUCAUUGUAAAAUAUUUUUAAGUUAAUGUUUUUUUUUUUUUUUUUUUAAUUAUAUGUAAAUUAAUGUAGAAAGACUUUGGUUAACCUUCCCCCACACUUAAACUAAAUAACACAAACUUACAGAAAUUAACCAAAUAACACAACUAACUAAACAAAACAAAAUGAAAGCAGUAAAGAUAAGGGUGUAAGAAUUCAAAUCUGAUUUGGUUAGCGAUUCCAAAGUCUCCCUUCGUUGAAUGCUUGGGUUGCCUCCCAAGAAGCGCUUGAUUUAACGUCUUUAGCCGGACGAAUCUUUCCUUUAAACUCCCCUCGGCUCCAAAGCAUGGAAUUUAUCUUUUAAUGGGAGGUGAUACUUGAAAUGAUUCGGCAAUGGUUUAAAUUCAAGAGUGGGUGCCUGAAUCAUCAAAAUCAGAAACAUGUUAGUAUAAGUUAAAAUUAAAUUUGGAGAAGAUGGCUUACUUUCUUUUUCCGACAUAAACUCAAUGACAAACACCACAUUUGUGAACAUUUCUGGGACUUUGAACUUGGCCAGGUUUACUAUGAUGGUUGUGGCGUGUCCCGUGUCAUCAAACUCAACUGCUUUGGGCUUGAUUGUCUCAUGCACAGCCUCUUGGAUGUAUUCUUGAUAUGCUUCAACCACUUCAUUCUCUUGAAUCCCUUUUCUUGGUGUGCAAGGUUCUUUGAACAUUUCAAUACCAUCGGGAAUUUGUUUUGGUGCACCAAGAAUUAGGAUAUCACUUUGCACCUUUGGAAGAGCUUCCACAAUGUCUUUUUCACUCUCUUUGAAAUUUGGAAUAAAAAACCUGCAAGGACAAAGGACAUUCGGUGGAAUAAUGUUAGAAUGAAGUGAAUUUAUAACUUCCUCACCUGAGUUAGAUGACAUAGGGAUUUGAGGAGCUUGCAGCAAGAAUUCUUCUAAACUGCCCAGGUCGUCCUCCUCCUCUUCUGCUUGCAGCAGCAAUUCAUCCAUGUUCGGGCUGUGUUUGGAUGGUUCUAGGACAGCUUCAUCCUUCAUGUCACCUUCCAAAGUGAUGGCUUCAUCGAUUUCACUUUCUGCUUUUGAAUUUGCAAUGUUUGAGUUGGAAAGUUCACUUUGAUCUCGAAUCUGUGCCAUGAAUUCCACAAUCUGCCCAACUUGCAUCUCCAAUUCAUCCACUCUUUUGACUCGGUCUUGCAUCUCCUGGUUUUGAUUUUCUACUCCCUGAUUCAAAGAGGUGAGUAACUUAUUAAGUGUAUCAUUAUCCAAGGAUGUACCUGAAUUGAAUUGGGUUGAUUGUUGUGGUGGCUGUGACGGUUCAUAUGGCCACUGAUAGAACUCUUCCGAUGGCGGCAAUUGUUCUUCUUUUCGUAAACCCUGCGCCACAGAAAUUAGUCCUUCAAGAAUUUCAUUAUAAUUCAUGGGCAUACUUUGAUUUGAUUGGAAUUGUUGUGGGGGAUGCUGUGGUGGCUGCAUAGGUCUUGAAAUAGAACUCGUCUUGCUGCCAAUAUCCACCUUGUUGAAAUUGUUGAGGUUCAUCCCACAUAUAAUAUGAAUUACCUCUCUCCAAUCUGAAUUGCAAGCGUUGGAAAACAUGUUGCCCCUUGAUUGGUUAUAACCUUGAUAUCCCCAAACAUCUUCAUUGGCAGAAAAUUGAGGACUUUGAUAUCCUUGCCCAUAGGGCACAUCAAGUGUAGGGACACUUGGCAUUGUGGUCCGUUCGGCAUUAUGAGUCAAUUGAGCAGUGAGCUGUGCCAAUUGAGCUUGAAUGGUCGCAAGUGCCAUGUCUCGCUCCAUUUGUACCUAAAAUCAAAGAAAGAAAAAUAAAUCAAAUAUCAAAAGUAAAAUACACAAACACCAAUAUAAACAUAAACAAAAACAAAAAUAAAGGGAUUAGCAAAGUUGCUAAUCCCCGGCAACGGCGCCAAAAUUUGAUGCGAGAAUUACUUGACACACAAAUUAAACCCUCUUUUUGACAAUUGUAGUAGGGAUUGCUAAUCUAUUCUAAAUUAAUUUAAAAAUAUUAAAUAAGACUCAAGGACACAAAACUAGGCUAAAAACUCUAAUAACUUGAAACACACUUAGAAUGACUCAAAAUAAUGGAAACACUCAAUUUAGACACUAGGAACUGAAAUGGACGGAAAUUGAAUUAAAAGACUAACAACAAUGAAAACUAACUAAAUAAUAUAAUUUAAUAAUGGGGGGUGUUUGGUUUUGACGAGAAGUAAAUUAAACUUAAAUAAAUUACAGAAUUGACAAAAACAUGAAAUUAAGGUGAAAGGAUAGGUGACGGACUAGCUAGAGGGUUUUUCUCCACACAUGACACAUAUGCAACCUAAAUUGAUUUUCAGUUGUUCUUUCAAUAAAUUGUGAAUCUCAACACUUCAGAUUAACCGUGAACAGCACUUUUUUAAUCUUCAAGUUUUCCUUAAGUUAUUGAAUUGGACGGGAAAACGCAUACAACAAUUCAAAACAUUCUUCAAAAGUCCCCUACGUGAAAAGCACAAUAGAGAUACAAUCAAAGAUCAUUAAACUUUGUGAAAACUAUAAGCAUUGACGAGGCAUUCGUAACUAUGAAAAGCAUGAUACUCUUGCCAAGAAUUCACUUAACGUGAUUGUGACUAGCAACCUUCACUACUUGUGAAUAUAAGUUCAUAACGAUUAGGUGAAAUUCACUUAUAUUCUAGCAUCAAAUUCAUGCAUGUAAAUUAAGUAUGCAUCCUUAAUCGACAUACAAAAAUAAGUUAUAAAUCAAGCAGUUAAGCAAUUAAAUCACAACUCAGAAAUCACAACUGAAGGUAAUCAAUUCAAAUUACAAAUAUAUUCAUGGCUUUGAAUUAACCUCUAGCCAAAAUAAGUUUAUUUACACAUUAUUAAAAUAGAAAUAAAAUAGAAGUUUGGAAAGAUUAAACCGAGAGAGAGGAGAGUGCUUGUUGCUUCUGUCUGUCUGACUUCCCUUUCUGAUCCAGUCUGCCCUCUCUUGCCGUGCCUGCCCAUUGCCUCUGUCUCUCUGUUUUCGCACUCUAACCUCUCUCCCCUCUGACCUGCGUCUAUCCUCACGCUGCCAAAGGCAGCCCUCCUUUCUUUCCGCCCCCCAGCUGCAAAGCAACUUUCCUCCCGCGUCAAUCCCCCCCUGUUUUUCUGCGCCUCCUGCGCUCUCUGCGAACUGCCCAAAGGCAGCUCCUCCCUCUAUGUCCUCCUCUCUCCCCUUAUUUCCUCCUCCUCUCCCCUUAUUUCCUCCUGCCUUUUCUUCUUAUUUUAUGCGCCCCCAGCUGCCAAAGCAGCAUCUGCCUUCCACCUCCCCGUGUCUCAGCUUUCCCCCUUUUUUUUAUUUUUCUAUUCCAUCUUUUCCCGCAUACUCCUGCCUUCCACUCCUCACGUUUCCACCUUGGAUUCCUUCCUUUCCAGCUGCAAAGCAGCUUCCUGUUGUUUUCAGAAGUGAAGAAUAUGGGAGUCAACGAGGUAAAAAAAAAUAUAAAUCAUGAUGCUCUCUUGCUCCCUCUUUGACCGACUCUCACCAUUUCUUUUGUUUAUGCCGUGACAUAAUUCUACCAAUAAUCCAUGACAAAAUGAGAACGACUAAAGCAAUUUUCGACGAAUUUAUUAUUUAAAACUCAUUUGUGCUAUUUUUAUUUUCUUUGCAUAACAAAUCCUAUAAACACAAAAAUAACGUAAAUAGCUCAAAAAUGUAAGGAACUAACUAAGAAAAGACGAGUGAAUUCGAAGUAAAAAUAUAUAUAAAUAUGAUCCGAUCACCUGGCUUACAUAUUUAUUACUGAGAUACUCGACAUGGCAUAUACUUGGUUUUUGCUGCUCUCGAGUAUGAUUUCUAUAUAUGUACGUAUUGCUAUUUUCUGGGAAAACUAUACGGGUUUUACGGUGAAGGGUCAUUAUGUUUAGAAAGAGAAAUAUGUUUUCGAAAGCUUUGUUUUUGCCCACUCACGUUUUCUGUUUUUUCGCCCCUCCAGGCUUGAACUGCUGAGCGAUCGUAUUGACGAGUGUUAAUACAUGUGGCUACUUCUAAGGGUAUGAUCUUUACCCACUCUACUGUACUUUACUUAUGCUCUGACGUCACAUGUGAGAUGGGUUCAUUUCCGCUCACUAGUGCACUUUGUAUUUAGGCACAUUUAGGUUUUAAAUUUAUUUACAUUUUCCAUAUCACUACACUUUAUGGCUUCGUUACCUUGCAGGUGUCGGCCAGCACAGCCUGAUUCGGAAUCUUAGUGGACAUUCCGAUUCAGGAUGUGUUAAUGUAUUUAAAAAAUAAAUAAAAUAAAAAUUAUUAUUUAAAAUCUUUGUGCAAUGAAAGUCAAAUAUUUCGUCGCCGAAAUCCAAUUUAUUUUCUCUAAUAUUUAAUUUUAUAUUUGAAAUUGUAAAAUAAAAUUAUUUUCAUAGUUUUUAUUAUUUUUUUAAACUUUGCACGAUGAAUAUGAAUAUUUUGUCGCCUCAACCUUAUUAAUUUUAUUUUUUAUAUUGUUAAA